rnacentral:misc_RNA from 1 species
CCAUCUUUGCGAGUAAGCAUGUCACGCACCUCAUCCAGCGCCGCCACCUCCGCGGCCCCGCUGUUUCGGGAGUACCGCGUGCACCACGUCACCACCGAUGGUAUCCUUGUGCAGCUGCCCGAGACGAGGGGCUUCGGCCGCCUCACCACCGCGACUCUUGGCGAUGAUCUGCUGGCCAAGCGUCUCCUCACGAGCCUCUCGGCCCGCGAGCAGGUGAUUGCCAUGCCGAUGCGCUUGCGCGACGCGCAGGGGUACCGGCUGCUGACAGUAGAUUUGAAGGAGGGUUUUAGCGCGAUACUCACCUACCCCGAGCCUGUGCGCCGCCUCGUGCAGAGGCUCCUGCGCAAGCACAUGCUGGUGGGGCUCGGCACUACUGCCGCGGCUCGCCUCGUGCGCGGCUCUGCAAAGGGCUCAGUGCUCACUAUUCAGCCUCGCAUGACGGCUGUGGCGGCACUGGAGGACCUCACCAAGGGUGACUCCUCCGCAUCCCUCAAGUCGUUUAGCGGGGCCGCCGCUCGUGCCCAGCAGAGGCAGAAAGGCCGUGGCGACAACGGUAUCAGCAGCGACGAUGAUGAGUGCCACGUAGAUCGCGCGCAAGAGAGCGGCACGCUGGGCGUGAGCACAGAGAGAAACAAGGCCACAGCCGACGGAAACAUCAUAGAGGUGCGCAUUCUCAACUACGACGUGAACGCUGACGUCGUCAAUGUGACAGCGAAGGCGAAGGUGGUGGAGGGCACGCCGGUCGACACGGCCGUGUCCGCGGCGGCGCUGGCCACGCUGCACCCUGGCGACAUCGUCUCUUGCACGGUCCUCCUCUCGUCGACCGAUGACGGGUGCGCUGUUGUUCAGAUACCUGUGCAGAGCGUCACAGUAGACCCGCACGACGGCAGCAGCGGCUGCGUGACUGUUCUCGGCUACUAUGUGUACGACUGGGAUGGCAAGGGGGUGCCUGCGGCGCCGGUGGUCGGCCACACGGUGGAUCUCGUGAUCGAGUUCUGCCCUGAAAUCGCCGUUCUGCGCGACGUGGCGCCGUUCGCGAUUCUGUCGAAUCGCCUUCGUCAGUUCCACCGCCUCCCGGCGGUGCGUCACUUCGCCGAGACCACGAUCGAGGCGUCGUCCUCUGCGUCGGCUUCUGCUCUGUCCGCGGCCAACCCUACAUCUCCUGUUGCGGCGCGCGGGCUUCUGGGGUUCUUCCCGUGGCGGACCGAGUACGCGGCGAAGGCGCGGCGCGCCGAGGAAAGCGAGGACGAUGAGGACGCAGCUGAAGGUCACAGCGGCCACGGCUCAGCUCAGGAUCGGCAGCAGCGGACGCGCCGCCGCAAACUGGAGGAGGCAAUCGACGCCUACGAACGCGGCAUGGAGACGGCGGUGCCGACGAGCCCGGAGGAAUUCCAGCGCUUGCUGCUCGCAAACCCGAACAGCAGCUACGUUUGGACGCAAUACAUGGCCUACCACGUUGGCCUGCAGCAGUACGAGGCGGCGCGUCAGGUGGCCGAGAAGGCGCUCAGCACUAUCGGUGUGCGAGAGCAGGAGGAGCUGCUGAACGUCUGGGUGGCGUACCUCAACAUCGAGAACCUGUACGGAACGGAGGAGUCUCUCUCGGCGGUGUUCCGGCGCGCGCAGCAACGGCAGCUCAACCAGCUGGUCCUCUUUGAGCGACUCGCAGAUAUCUACGCGGCGUCCCGCAAGCCUAAUCAGCUGCUUGCAUUGUGCCGCGCCAUGACGGGCAAGUUCCGCACUGAGCGCCGCACGUGGGAGCGUCUCGGCAUCGUCCUUGUCGAUCAGGGCAAGCGCGAUCAGCUGAAACGGACCUUGAAGGACAUGGGCGAUGUGCUGAAGCGAGAUGACGCCACGCUGGCUAUUGUGCACAUUGCCAUUCAUGAGUACAAGCAAGGCAGUCCAGAGAACGGCCGCGCGCUCUUCGAAGGCUUGCUGCGCAAGGUGCCGAAGCGGUCCGAUGUCUGGUCAAUCUACACUGAUCAAGAGAUGGGGCUGCUGAACCGCAAGGACCCGACGGCGUCAACGCUUCAGGUACGGCAGAUCUUCCAGCGCACGGUCGCGAUGAACUUUUCGGCAAAGGUGAUGCAACAGGUCCUUACGCGCUUCCUCUCAUUCGAGAAGCUGCACGGCACGCCGGCCGAUGUCGAGUCGGUGAAGAGGUUCGCGCGCACCUACGUGGAGUCCAAAAUUCAGGCGUUAACCGACUCCGUCCCCGACGCGGCGGCCGCGUGAUGCCUCAAUGGUGGUCAUCUCUCUGUCUUUCUUUGUGUGCCAUCGUCAUUGAAGUAGCUCGAUGCUGUGCUGUCAUGUGCAUGUUCUAUUCGCAGGCGCGUGUGUCUGCCUGUCUUACUUUCUCUCUCUCGGCAUCCAUGUGUGUGUGUGUGUGUGUGUGUGUGUGUUGCUUUAAAAGUAUUUAAUCAAGUGACGGCGUCCAGGUCUGCGCAGUUCUAUGUGCUGCUGCUGCGGCGGCUACGUGCGCUUCCACACAGCGGGUGCGGGUCGCGCAUACAAGGGCAGGCGACCUCUCAGUGGAGGAAGGGGUGGGGAAAGGGGAGUGCGAGCGGCAAGGGUGUCGCCAUGCAGGCACACGCGAAGCGCCUUUUCCGUCCCUUUGCUUUCUCGAGUGUGUUGGGGGGUGAGGGUUAAUCGAAAGGAGACGGAGACGACGUCAGUGGUGCGUGCCAUACAACGAAUAAGCGCCUACCUAAGACAAGGCACAGAGCUGUACAAACGAAAACCAAGAGAUGGAGGGAGAGACGGAGAAAUGAUCGCGCGCAAUAAUGUGCGGUGUGCCAGACCCACUGUUUUCCGACAUGAACGUAGCUGAGAGUGGGCUGCCGGAAGAAGUGUGCACAGGCGUGCGUGGCGGUUGGGCUUCAUGACAACGACGGCGGGAGCAACGGAAAAGAAGCGUGCGCAUCGAGUACGCAGCAGUGCAAGAAGGUAGCGUUGCACCGACGCGCCGUCGAAUCCUCGCCCUGUCCCACCGCCUACGCUCUCUCCAUUUGUGGCAACGACACCACGAGCUUUCCGCGGCGUAUUGCACGCGAGAAAUGAUCGCUUUCUGCGCAUCCGUCGACACGUCUUUUCGACCUGCUCGCAUCGUCCUUUCCACGCCUUGCUUUUCGUUUUCGUCUUUUUAUUUCGUGUCCGAAUGAAUGGCGCUCAUCCGUCUGCGCCAGCAUGUACACAUCAAACAUUCUUCGCUCUCCCUCCCACUGUCUUACCUUGGUACCGCUGCCGGAGUGUGGCUGUGUGAGCACGCGCGCGUGUGUGUGUGUGUGUAUCAG